rnacentral:rRNA from 1 species
AUGAUAACUCAUGUGCUUUUAAUGUAUCCCACUCUCGGAGAAAAGAAUGGAGUAGCUGAAAGGCGCAACCGUACACUUAUGAAUAUGGUGCGCAGCAUGAUGAGUUAUUCCAACUUGCCAUUGGGAUUAUGGAUGGAGGCGCUUAAAACCGCCAUUCACAUUCUCAAUAGAGUACCAAGCAAGUCGGUGCCCAAAACACCGUACGAGAUAUGGACAGGAAGGGUGCCCUCCCUAAAACACUUCAGGGUGUGGGGGUGCCCUGCUGAGGCCAAAAUGUUUAAUCCAAACAUUGCAAAGUUAGAUCCCAAAACAGUAAGUUGCCACUUCAUUGGCUAUCCAGACAGAUCAAAAGGUUUUCGUUUCUACUGCCCUGACAGAUAUACAAAGUUUGUAGAAACGAGACAUGCAGUCUUCUUAGAAGACGAAAUGAUGAGGGGGAGCUUGGUAGCUCGGAAAAUUGAUCUUGAGGAGAAGAGGGUGCAUGCACCUAAUCCGAUGAUUCAGGAGCCAUUUUUCUCACUACCAGUUGCAACUCCACCCAUGACAGCUAUGGGAAAAGACCCGGAACCUGUCCGUCAGGAGCCGACUGAACCCGAUGUUGAGCAUGAAAGGGAGGUGCAACAGCAAAUUUUAGAAGAAGUGCCAGAAGUUGAGGCACAAAAUGUGCCAGAAACUGAGGCCCUUAGAAGGUCUACAAGAUCAAGAAAGUCAGCUAUUCCUACUGACUUUAAAGUUUAUAACACAGAAAUGGUUCAUAUGGAAAAAGAUCCCACCUCAUAUGAAGAAGCCAUGAGAAGCCCUCAUUCAUCGAAGUGGAUGAAGGCAAUGGAAGACGAGAUGAAAUCGAUGAGUUCCAAAGAUGUUUGGGACUUAGAGGAAAUUCCUAAAGGAGCCAAAACAGUAGGCUGUAAAUGGGUCUACAAAAUUAAGUAUGACUGUAAAGGGAAUAUAGAAAAGUAUAAAGCACGACUCGUGGCAAAAGGAUUUACACAAAGAGAAGGGAUAGAUUACAAUGAGACAUUUUCUCCAGUCUCAUGUAAGGAUUCCUUCAGAAUCAUAAUGGCAUUAGUUGCUCAUUUUGAUUUAGAGUUACAUCAAAUGGAUGUUAAGACGGCAUUUCUGAAUCGUGAUUUAAAAGAAAAGGUCUACAUGAAACAACCCAAGGGUUUUAUCAUGGAAGGCAAGGAAAAUAUGGGAUGCCGCCUGAAGAAAUCCAUUUAUGGAUUAAGACAAGCCUCUCGGCAAUCAAACGAUUAA